UGGUGGAGUGAUUUGUCUGCUUAAUUGCGUUAACGAACGAGACCUUAACCUACUAAAUAGUUACGGGAAUCUUCGGAUUCUCGGGCAACUUCUUAGAGGGACUUUGGCAUCAAGCCAAAGGAAGUUUGAGGCAAUAACA
rnacentral:rRNA from 1 species